UACGUAGGUGGCAAGCGUUGUCCGGAUUUACUGGGCGUAAAGAGCGCGCAGGCGGUCGUUCAAGUCGCGUGUGAAAGCCCCCGGCUCAACUGGGGAGGGUCACGCGAUACUGAUCGACUCGAAGGCAGGAGAGGGUAGUGGAAUUCCCGGUGUAGUGGUGAAAUGCGUAGAUAUCUGGAGGAACACCGGUGGCGAAGGCGGCAUCCUGGACCGAUACUGACGCUGAGGAGCGAAAGCGUGGGGAGCAAACAGG
rnacentral:rRNA from 1 species